rnacentral:rRNA from 1 species
UACGAAGGGGGCUAGCGUUGCUCGGAAUUACUGGGCGUAAAGCGCACGUAGGCGGACCGAUAAGUCGGGGGUGAAAUCCUGGAGCUCAACUCCAGAACUGCCUUCGAAACUGCCGGUCUUGAGUUCGGGAGAGGUGAGUGGAACUGCGAGUGUAGAGGUGAAAUUCGUAGAUAUUCGGAGGAACACCAGAAGCGAAGGCGGCUCACUGGCCCGAUACUGACGCUGAGGCGCGAAAGCGUGGGGAGCAAACAGG